AUUCCAGCUCCAAUAGCGUAUAUUAAGGUUGUUGCAGUUAAAAAGCUCGUAGUUGGAUUUCUGGCGUGAGGCGACUGUUCCUAGGCUCUAUGCCUAGUGUAACAGAUCGCCUCGGCCAUCCUUCUGGAAAACGGCCCUGCUCUUCAUUGAGUUGGGGUCGGGAUCCAGAUCUUUUACUUUGAAAAAAUUAGAGUGUUUAAAGCAGGCUUAUGCCUUGAAUACAUUAGCAUGGAAUAAUAAUUUAGGACUUUGGUUCUAUUUUGUUGGUUUCUAGAACUGAAGUAAUGAUUGAUAGGGAUAGUUGGGGGUGCUAGUAUUGGCCGGCCAGAGGUGAAAUUCUUGGAUUCGGUCAAGACUAACUUAUGCGAAAGCAUUCACCAAGGAUGUCUUCAUCA
rnacentral:rRNA from 1 species